UAUGACAUUAAAAUAAGGUCAAGGUCAAGUUUAUUUAUAUAGCACCUUAAAAGCAACAAGUGCUGACCAAGGUGCUGCACAACCAAAACAUCAGAAAAAUCAACUAACAAAAGCAUUAAGACAAUAUAAAAUUUGAAAUCAUUAAAUAAUACAAUAAGUAAUGCAAGA